CAAAAAUAUGAACGGCGCUUUUGGAAGUCAGGAGAAAUGCUUUCAAUUAUCCAAUGGGUAGUAAACAAAGUCAGCCGUUAUGGUAUCGUUUGCAUCACUUGGGUAUUUCUGUGUGAUUUUUGUCUGUAUCAUGUUGAAUAAAAUUUUUAGAUUUUUAAGAGAUAGAUAACAGACUACUCAUUCAACUGGAUAUUACUACCAGAAAAAAAAAAUCGAAACAAACACAAAAUAUUCUCACACAAAAAGUGGCAACCCUGACAAGUUUGAUCAGAACACGUGCAUGGCAAGGUAGCUGCGAUACAUUAGAGUCUGUCUAGUCCUCCAAUUUCCAACAUGCGAUCUUUUAUGAAACAACUGAUGGGAUUUUUGGCCAUUCGUGCAUUUGAAAUUGAUUAUUACAAGUAUUUUACAAAUGGAGAAACCGAAUUACUCUAAACCUGUGCUGUUUGUGAAUAUGGCGCUAUCUUAAAAAGAGGACAAGGAACAGAGGACGUAGCAAUCCUCAAUGCAGUCAGCGGCCACAUUUGGUCAGAUACUUUAUUGGUUGCCAAAUUGAUCCCCAGCACAAGUCACC